UGGAUAGCUCAGUUGGUUAGAGAGUGGUGCUGGCGUCGCCAAGGUUUGUAGGUUUGAUCCCCGUAUGGGACAG